GACGAACGCUGGCGGCGCGCUUAACACAUGCAAGUCGAACGGAAAGGCCUGCUUUCCCUUGUGGAUUGCGGGUACUCGAGUGGCGAACGGGUGAGUAACACGUGAGUGAUCUGCCCCCAACUUGGGUAUAAGCCUGGGAAACUGGGUCUAAUUCCCGAUAGGACUGCAGGGUGGUGCCUGUGGUGGAAAACGAUUUUCUAGUGGUUGGGGAUGAGCUCGCGGCCUAUCAGCUUGUUGGUGGGGUAAUGGCCUACCAAGGCGGCGACGGGUAGCCGGCCUGAGAGGGUGGACGGCCACAUUGGGACGGAGAUACGGCCCAGACUCCUACGGGAGGCAGCAGUGGGGAAGAUUGCACAAUGGGCGGAAGCCUGAUGCAGCGACGCCGCGUGGGGGAUGACGGCCUUCGGGUUGUAAACUCCUUUCGACCGCGAGGAAGCCACCUGGUUGGAAGGGUGGUGACGGGAGGGGUAGAAGAAGCACCGGCUAACUACG
rnacentral:rRNA from 1 species